rnacentral:lncRNA from 1 species
CUUGAUCCAAGACCACUCACUAAAUACCUUAGAGCAACACUUAAAUAGCUCCGUUUUGAGAAUUUUAACAAUCUUUAUGAUGUAUUUAGGAUUGAAGUUGGGCAGUUAUAGCUUAAAAAUUACAGCACUAAAGUAUUUGAUAAACACUAAUUGUUGUAGCUUUUAAGCUAUGUUGAUAUGAUUUUUGACUUGUAUAAUAUAAAAUCUAAUAUAUUUUUAAUAAUUUUAUCAAAAUUAUUAUUUAAAAUUUACAUUUACUAUCUAUUAUUAACUUUUGUUUUAUAAUUACAAUUUUUUUUUUCACAGCAGCUGUAGCUUUUAAGCUACAACACUUCAAUCCCAAACGCACCAUUAGACUGUCUCCACCCAAAUAGUGUAUAUUUCAUAAAUGUCAAAUGUGCAUGCACACAACCAUCUAGCAGCAGAGGUCCUUCAAAGCUUCAAGCAUAAAAGUGAAUCUUCUUAUGACACAUUUGACUAGUGUAUCUAUCCAUCAGGACCCUCACUUGGUUCUUGGAG